rnacentral:rRNA from 1 species
UGGGGAAUCUUGCACAAUGGGGGAAACCCUGAUGCAGCGACGCCGCGUGAGCGAUGAAGCCUUUCGGGGUGUAAAGCUCUUACGCCAGGGACGAUAGUGACGGUACCUGGAGAAGCAGCUGCGGCUAACUACGUGCCAGCAGCCGCGGUAAUACGUAGGCAGCAAGCGUUGUUCGGAAUUACUGGGCGUAAAGGGUGCGUAGGCGGUGCUCUAAGUUUGGUGUGAAAUCUCCCGGCUUAACUGGGAGGGUGCGCCGAAAACUGGAGUGCUUGAGUGUGGGAGAGGAAAGCGGAAUUCCUGGUGUAGCGGUGAAAUGCGUAGAGAUCAGGAGGAACACCUGCGGUGUAGACGGCUUUCUGGACCAUAACUGACGCUGAGGCACGAAAGCGUGGGUAGCAAA